CCGUGGAGGGGGAGUGAGGGCGCAGAGACCUUUCGAGGCUGUGCGGUACCUAAGUUUGGUUUUAGAGCGAACUAGGGUGAGAUAGGAGAUGUGUUUCUUUUCUUGGCAUGAGCCAUGGCUGGCAAGUUCUGUUCUAUUCUGACCCUCGUUCCCUUGUAAACUAUUUGUUUCCCAUGUGAAGAUGGAUGUGAUGGCCGCACAUGUUCCUGGAAGAGGAAGAGGAGGCUCCAGAUGGAGAGAGCACUUGGCUUGAAGAGGCCUGUCCCUACUCAGAAGACAGCUGAGCAGAAAAUGGAGAAAGAAGGACCUGGCUCCUCAUGACACUGUUAAAUGACAUUCCUCGUGUGACAUCUUCUUGUUACUGAAAAUUAAGAGGCUUCUACCCCCCUUUAUGGCUUGUGCUUGGAACUCAGUGCUGAUACCACCUUAGCUGAGAAAUCUACCAGAAAGUAAGAGAGACUUGGGACAGAGUACAAAGGGGAGUGGGGUGGGGGGUGUCACAAGCAUUUUAUUUGUUCUGGCUAUGUGAAAGUGUGAAUGGAGAUAAGUUCUUUUCACCCCCUGAACCCCACCAUAGUGUUAAAGGGAAAGAUUGGUUUGGAGCCUAAAAGCACAAGUCUUAAGAUUUUUAAAAAUAGAGACACAAAGCCGAGCAGUGGGGCGCACACCUUUAAUCCCAGCACUUGGGAGGCAGAGGCAGGUGCAUCUCACCAGCCUGGUCUUCAAAGCGAGUUCCAGGACAGCCAGGAAUGUUACACAGAGAAACCUUGUCUCGAAAAACAAAACAAAAAUAAACAAAAA